UUGUGCAUUAGUGCUGGCAGGUGGGUUGUACAUUUUUCCCAUUUACGUUCAUGCCAAGCUGUUCAGACGCUGCGGGCAGAUGAAAACUGGGUGACACCCUCCCUGUGGAACGCAUGGGGCCACGAAGGAGAGGCUGUACAGGAAGGGGGGCUGUUCUCUUCGCUGCAGCCCUGUCCACAUACCACUGUGUCCUGUGGGCCCAGGGGCAGGGGACACAGACCAGGGGGGACCACCAGGGGCUGUGGAGGAGCCAAAGAGGGUGUCCAAACGCUAUGGGCCGAAUUGUGUCCCUCAAAGCCCACUGCAGCCCUAACCCCCCAGGCGACUGCAUUUGGAGAUGAAGCCUUUAAAGAGGUUUUAAGGUUAAAUGAGGUCAUGGGUGGAGCCAUGAUCCACGAGUCACCGGGAGUGAGCCAUAGAGGAAAGGCCCUGUGACGACUCGGGGUGGAGACGACCGUCUACUCGCCCAAGAGGGAGGCCUCAGGAGGAACCACCUGCUGGCACCUUGAUCUAGAACUUCCAGCCCCCAGACUGUGAGAAAUAGCUGUCUAUUGCAUUUGUUAUGGCAGCCUGAGCAGGCUAAGACACCAGGGAAGCACGGAUCCUGGAGAGAGGUGCAAGGGCAGCUGGGAGCAGGCGUGGAGGACAAGGACCAGGUGGGGCUGGGCUGAAGGGGGCGCCUCACCCACUCCUGCUGUCUUCCUUCCGCUGUGAACCUGAGCACAUACUCCAGGGAGCCAGGGCUGGGCUCAUUGGCCUCGGUACCUUCACAACCUGGAGAGAAGACUCCCUUCUGCUCAGAGGCCUGAAGCUGUUGUGGACUCACAGCUCCACCAGCUCGUGUGCCCCGCCGCGCGGAAGGACACCCUCCCGACAGCUCUGCAGCAACCCGACGCUCAGUGGCUGUCGGUGAUCCAGGGCCGCUUGGUGCAGACGGGACAGAGCUGCAACCAUCCCGCAUGACUGUCAGCAUCAACUCGUGAGCUCCCGCACCAACAGCAGAGACCCUGCCAGCUCCGAGGAGGCCACGUGGGCCACAUACACCGGCCCUUCUCCUUUCCUCACGGCUGGGGGAGCAGCAGUGACUGAGCCUCCCCAGUGCCCUCACUGCCCUCACUCGUUACUAGUGCCCCUAUUAUUAUUACCUGUUAUUAGUGCACCACCUGUAGCUAUUAGGCCAUUACUGGAAUAUUCAUCUCAAAAUGGGAAAAGUAAAUCCAAAUGCAAAAGUG